AGGACGAACGCUGGCGGCGUGCUUAACACAUGCAAGUCGAGCGGAAAGGCCCUUCGGGGUACUCGAGCGGCGAACGGGUGAGUAACACGUGAGUAAUCUGCCCCUAGCUCUGGGAUAGGCUCCGGGAAACCGGGAUUAAUACCAGAUACGACCACUUUAGACAUCUGUCGUGGUGGAAAGGAUUCCGGCUAGGGAUGGGCUCGCGGCCUAUCAGCUUGUUGGUGGGUAACGGCCUACCAAGGCGACGACGGGUA
rnacentral:rRNA from 1 species